rnacentral:rRNA from 1 species
AACGAACGCUGGCGGCAUGCCUAACACAUGCAAGUCGAACGAACCCUUCGGGGUUAGUGGCGCACGGGUGCGUAACGCGUGGGAAUCUGCCCUUGGCUUCGGAAUAACAGUUAGAAAUGACUGCUAAUACCGGAUGAUGUCUUCGGACCAAAGAUUUAUCGGCCAGGGAUGAGCCCGCGUAGGAUUAGGUAGUUGGUGGGGUAAAGGCCUACCAAGCCGACGAUCCUUAGCUGGUCUGAGAGGAUGAUCAGCCACACUGGGACUGAGACACGGCCCAGACUCCUACGGGGGGCAGCAGUGGGGAAUAUUGGACAAUGGGCGCAAGCCUGAUCCAGCAAUGCCGCGUGAAUGAUGAAGGCCUUAGGGUCGUAAAGCUCUUUUACCCGGGAUGAUAAUGACAGUACCGGGAGAAUAAGCUCCGGCUAACUCCGUGCCAGCCGCCGCGGUAA